UACAGAGGUGCCAAGCGUUAGGCGGAAUCACUGGGCUUAAAGCGCGUGCAGGUGGACGGGUAAGUAUCUUGUGAAAUCCCACGGCUCAACCGUGGAACUGCUGGAUAUACUGCUUGUCUUGAGGCACUUAGGGGCAGCUGGAACAAAUGGUGGAGCGGUGAAAUGCGUAGAUAUCAUUUGGAACGCCAAAGGCGAAAGCAGGCUGCUGGGAGUGAUCUGACACUGAGGCGCGAAAGCCAGGGGAGCAAACGGG
rnacentral:rRNA from 1 species